rnacentral:rRNA from 1 species
AGUGAACGCUGGCGGUAGGCCUAACACAUGCAAGUCGAACGGCAGCACAGUAAGAGCUUGCUCUUACGGGUGGCGAGUGGCGGACGGGUGAGGAAUACAUCGGAAUCUACUUUUUCGUGGGGGAUAACGUAGGGAAACUUACGCUAAUACCGCAUACGACCUACGGGUGAAAGCAGGGGAUCUUCGGACCUUGCGCGAUUGAAUGAGCCGAUGUCGGUUUAGCUAGUUGGCGGGGUAAAGGCCCACCAAGGCGACGAUCCGUAGCUGGUCUGAGAGGAUGAUCAGCAACACUGGAACUGAGACACGGUCCAGACUCCUACGGGAGGCAGCAGUGGGGAAUAUUGGACAAUGGGCGCAAGCCUGAUCCAGCCAUACCGCGUGGGUGAAGAAGGCCUUCGGGUUGUAAAGCCCUUUUGUUGGGAAAGAAAAGCAGCAGGUUAAUACCCCGCUGUUCUGACGGUACCCAAAGAAUAAGCACCGGCUAACUUCGUG